rnacentral:lncRNA from 1 species
CCCGAUCGAAGCUACUCCUGAGAAUUUCGCAGACUAUGGUCAAGUCAUCGAAGCCUCUCGUGACGGUGCAGGUUUCGGUCCCAACGACGCUCAACUGGAUCUCUCCAGAGGAAUCCCACGGUACUCUUUAUCCAGUUUACUAAAAUUUCGUUAAUACCUAAGAUUAUUGAUUAAAACACAUGCUUCUUCUAAUCAUAUUCGUUGUUGAUUAAUGUCUAAAUUCCUCAUCUUUGAUGCUAAUUUAUCAAUCAAGCUAUGUGAUUUGUAUUGGUUCCUAGAUAGUCGUGUUGAUCAGUUCCUAAUAACAAAAGACUUAUAGAUUUUGUAGGAACGUACUUAUUUACUACAAAAUUCAACAAAACGAAAGACCAAUUCAAACUAGACUCUUCUUACUACUUCAAGUAAUUAACUGACUUCAUUUACAAGUCCUAGCAUUAGGUUUCAGAUUUGUUUGUUCUUUUUUUUUUUUACAAUUAGCUAAUCAUCAUAUUCUCAUUAUGUUUAAUACUUGGGACAGGUUCUAUAUAAUGCGGAUCAGAGAUACACCCUUUGACUUUUCCGUACUCACUCACCACGCGAGCGUGACACAGUGUCUAGGAUCAAUAGGAGGUCAUGUUUGGUACCUUGGAGUGGCUAAACCGACACUUAUUGAAGAUGGUGAUGAUGGAAAGAUGGUAGAUAAAUUGAAAUCAAGGUCUGGUCACUUGUACGCUCCUCCUGCG